UUUCUAGGAAUUUUUUUUUUUUUUUUUUUUUUUUUUUAGUUUUUUUUGUUUUAGUAUUUUUUAAAAAUAAUUUAUUUAUUUUUUUUUCCUGUUAAGUUAUUUUUUGAAUAUUUAGGAUUAAUUUUUAGUACCUUUUGUAUCAGGGUGAUUUUAAAGUUUAAAUUUAUUUUUUUUUCCCGAAUUAAAAUGAUUUAUUUUGAAUGUUAUAUUAGUUGUUUAAAAAUUUUUAUUAAUUUUAUAUUAGUAGUUAAAGGUUAUUCGUUUUUUAUUAUAUCUGGUUAUUUAAGAUUUAAUUAAAUUAUAGAUUUUUUAUAAAAUCUUAUUAUAUGGGGGAUAAUCUCUAUUUUUAUUUAAAAUUUUUAUUUAGAAGUUUUUUAUUAUUUUUAGUAUUUUAGUUUAAAGUUUUUAAUAAAUUAAAAAUUUUAUUUUUAGAUUUUUUAGUAUUUAUUUAUUUUAUUAAGUUUUUUUAUUAAAUAUUUUUUUAAAGUUAAUAUUGAUUUAAUUAGUAUAAUUUUUAUUUAUUUUAUUAUGAAUUCGACAAAAAUUUAGUAUUCAACUGUUUAUCAAAAACAUUUCUUUUAGUAAAAUUUUAAAGGUAAAUUCUGCUCAAUGAUUUAUUUUAAAUAGCUGCAGUAUUUUGACUGUACAAAGGUAGCAUAAUAAUUAGUUCAUUAAUUGUGAACUGGAAUGAAUGAAUAUAUGAAAUACUCUUUUUAUUUAUUUUAAAAUUAAAAUUUUAUUUUUAAGUUAAAAAGCUUAAUUGAUUUUUAGGGACGAUAAGACCCUAUAGAGGUUUAAUUAUUUUUAUAUAAUAAAUUUUUAUUGUUUAUGUUAUAAGAUUUUUAUGUUCUUAUUAUUUUUUCUGGGGCGGAAUAUAAAUUUAAACUUUAUUUUUUUUUUUCAUUUAUUUAUGAUUAUGUUGAUCCAUUUUUAAAUUGUUUUGAUUAUAAGAAAUAGCUACCUUAGGGAUAACAGCGUAAUUUCAAUGGGGAGUUCUUAUUUAUAUUGAAGUUUGCGACCUCGAUGUUGAAUUAAGAUUAGAUUUUGGGGUAGUUUUUAAUUUUCUAAGUCUGUUCGACUUUUAAAUUCUUACAUGAUUUGAGUUCAGACCGGUGUAAGCCAGGUUGGUUUCUAUCUUAAAAUUCUUUAAUUAAAUUAGUACGAAAGGACCAUUUAAUUCAAUAAUAAAUUGUUAUGUUAGAAUA
rnacentral:rRNA from 1 species